GGCUUAGUGAGGCCCUCGAAUUGAGGUUCGGAGACUGGCAACAGUUUCUGUUCUUUGAGAAGUUGGUCAAACUUGGUCAUUUAGAGGAAGUAAAAGUCGUAACAAGGUUUCCGUAGGUGAACCUGCGGAAGGAUCAUUACCAAUUUUAGCGAGCCUGGCAUUACGUCCAUGGUCUCGUGAAAUUAUUGUAUUUAAAACCCACACUUCUAUAAUAAAAUAACAUGUAUCAUGAUAAAAAAUUAAAGAUCACUUUCAACAACGGAUCUCUUGGCUCUCGCAUCGAUGAAGAACGUAGCGAAGUGCGAUAAGUAGUGUGAAUUGCAGAAUUCCGUGAAUCAUCGAAUCUUUGAACGCAAAUUGCACUCUCUGGUAUUCCGGGGAGUAUGCCUGUUUGAGGGUCAGUUUAAAUAAAAAUCGGUGUGUUGCUUUUUGUAACGCCUCGGAUUUGGGUUAUCUUAGCCUUUGGGUUAAGAGACCUAAAAUUGACUUUUUUUGUGCAUUUUUAUAGACGUACAUAAGAUAUUUUUUUAUUCGUCUUUGGAAUGCCAAAUUUAUUAGGUAUGAUCAUGUUGUGUGAUUUCGUACCUAUAGGUUUCAUCAUCUGACCUCAAAUCAGGUAGGGACACCCGCUGAACUUAAGCAUAUCAAUAAGCGGAGGAGAAGAAAAUAACAAUGAUUCCCCUAGUAACUGCGAGUGAAGAGGGACAAGCUCAAAUUUUAAAUCUGUUAGGUUUCACCUGGCCGAGUUGUAAUUUGAAGAAGCGUUAUCUGCGCCUUUGGUCAGCCGCAAGUCCUACUGAAUGAGCAUCAUGG
rnacentral:rRNA from 1 species